CAUCGCGACCCGUUAGAUGUUGGUUUACGACCAAAUUGGGUAGACUUUAUAUAUUUAUAUAUAAAGACCAAAUUGUGUUUUCUAACCAAGUAUCUGACGGUAAUCGUAUGGUAUUAAGUCGCAAUAUUAAUAUAUUUUUGCGUUCUCUACCCGUCGCAAGCGAGGCCUUUUUUAUUAGUUUACAGACUUUGUGCUGUCUUAUAAAAAUUGUGCCAGCUGUUGGCUGUUUACGGUGUUCUAGAACUGACUUAUUUUUUUUUAAAAAAAAAUACCUGUCGGCGAUG
rnacentral:rRNA from 1 species